UACGGAGGGGGCUAGCGUUGUUCGGAAUUACUGGGCGUAAAGCGCACGUAGGCGGCUUUGUAAGUUAGAGGUGAAAGCCCGGGGCUCAACUCCGGAAUUGCCUUUAAGACUGCAUCGCUAGAAUUGUGGAGAGGUAAGUGGAAUUCCGAGUAUAGAGGUGAAAUUCGUAGAUAUUCGGAAGAACACCAGUGGCGAAGGCGGGUCUCUGGGCCGAAAUUGACGCUGGAGGAGCGAAAGCGUGGGGAGCAAACAGGAUAGAUACC
rnacentral:rRNA from 1 species